rnacentral:lncRNA from 1 species
AUGACACCAUUGAUCCAACUAUUUGAAGAAAAAAUGAUUUAUAGAUUUAUAGUAACAUUUUUGAACUUUAAAUUGAAAUAAUAAAAGUUUGUAUUUUAGGCUGUUCCGGGAUGUUAUACAGCCACUGAAAGCUGAGAAAUAUAGUCGUAAAUGGCAGGGAAAAAUGGUUGUACAGGGCUGGGAAUUACAUCCGUGCAGGGUUGGAAUAUCAAUAUUUAUGUAAGUUUGGUGUGGGCAUGUAGGGCUGGAAUAUGAAUACUAAUAUUUAUGUAAGUUUGGAAAUGUCUGCCUUUAUGUGGGUUUGGCGUAUAAAAUGGAUAAAAAUUAAAUCACGUAUGGUACUUUCAUUUUACAUCACAUAGUUAUCGUUCGACAUUUCUAAUGUCCUGUUUUCAAGAUGCAAUUUGUGGUCAAUCUUUCUUCAAGGUCUUGCUUAAGCCAUCAUGUUGUGAUAUGUAGUAGCUGAAUGGUUUUGUCGAUAUCUGUCUUCUUAGCAAAGUUACUAAAGUCUGAGCCACACUAUUUUUUGGUACACGUUCUUGGAAGGUGAAAAUGUCAAAAGCAGUGGUCAUCACUUUUAAAGUUAGCAUCAUUCUUCCAAAAGGGCAUUCAACUGAGCGUGCCAAAGAAUGAACAUCACAAACAGUUUGAAGAUAUUACACACUAUUUUGUUUUCAUUAACAAGGAAACCUUUAAAUUAUUUCAAUUUUUAUGUGGGUUCAAGUUUUUUAUUUUCUCAUUUAACUAAAACAUCAUUAUCACAGUUAUAUGUUUUUUCUACAUUUUAGUUAGAAAAUGGAGUGUGGUGCAACUUUGUAAGGGAAGCAGACCAAGCAUAUGAAGACUUUCUGUAUACAUACAAUUCUGAACCAUUUUUCUGGUGUGGUGCAACUUUGUAAGGGAAGCAGACCAAGCAUUCUAACAACAAAGUUGAUGUGUUGCCCCAUUAAGUUAACUGUAUUGUUAUCAACCUUUUCUCAUCGCUAUUAAUAUGUAGCAUAUAGGUAGGUUGUCGCUAUUUAUCGCUAUUUGCUAUUAACAACUAUGGUUCAUUGGAAUUAUCUUUUCUUUUUAUU